AGCGAACGCUGGCGGCAGGCUUAACACAUGCAAGUCGAACGCCCCGCAAGGGGAGUGGCAGACGGGUGAGUAACACGUGGGAACGUACCCUUUGGUUCGGAAUAACUUGGGGAAACUCAAGCUAGUACCGGAUAAGCCCUUAUGGGGAAAGGUUUACUGCCGAAGGAUCGGCCCGCGUCUGAUUAGCUAGUUGGUGAGGUAAUGGCUCACCAAGGCGACGAUCAGUAGCUGGUCUGAGAGGAUGAUCAGCCACACUGGGGCUGAGACACGGCCCAGACUCCUACGGGAGGCAGCAGUGGGGAAUAUUGGACAAUGGGGGCAACCCUGAUCCAGCCAUGCCGCGUGAGUGAUGAAGGCCUUAGGGUUGUAAAGCUCUUUUACCCGGGACGAUAAUGACUGUACCGGGAGAAUAAGCCCCGGCUAACUUCGUGCCAGCCGCCGCCGUAA
rnacentral:rRNA from 1 species